rnacentral:rRNA from 1 species
UACGGGGGGGGCAAGCGUUGUUCGGAAUUACUGGGCGUAAAGGGUUCGUAGGUGGCCAACUAAGUCAGACGUGAAAUCCCUCAGCUUAACUGGGGAACUGCGUCUGAUACUGGUUGGCUUGAGUGCAGGAGAGGAACGCGGAAUUCCAGGUGUAGCGGUGAAAUGCGUAGAUAUCUGGAGGAAUACCGGUGGCGAAGGCGGCAUCCUGGACCGACAUUGACGCUGAACGGCGAAAGCUAGGGGAGCAAACGGG